AGGGCAAUAUGCCUUAACAACAGGCCUAUUGGUUCCAUUUCAGUGACAAAGAAUUCAGGUAGUGAUAUAUGCAGAGGUGAACUUGGCUAUGUUCUGGCUGCUCAAUACUGGGGCAAGGGGAUUGCAACAAGGGCAGUGAAAAUGGCGGCCAAAACCAUUUUUAGCCAACGGCCAGAAAUGGAGAGACUUGAAGCCUUGGUAGAUGUAGAAAACGUGGGCUCUCAAAGGGUACUAGAGAAAGCUGGCUUCAUGAGAGAAGGUGUCCUAAGAAAGUAUUUUGUUCGGAAGGGAAGGUCUAGAGAUACGGUGAUGUUUAGUCUUCUUUCUACUGAUCCUGUAAUUUGAUUGUUAUUGUUUGCGCAAAAUUUGUCU
rnacentral:misc_RNA from 1 species